rnacentral:rRNA from 1 species
CCGGCGAGUGGCGAACGGGUGAGUAAUAUAUCGGAACGUACCGAGUAAUGGGAGAUAACCAAUCGAAAGAUUGGCUAAUACCGCAUACGUCCUGAGGGAGAAAGCGGGGGAUCGCAAGACCUCGCGUUAUCCGAGCGGCCGAUAACUGAUUAGCUAGUUGGUGGGGUAAAGGCCUACCAAGGCGACGAUCAGUAGCGGGUCUGAGGGGACGAUCCGCCACACUGGGACUGAGACACGGCCCAG